UACGUAGGGAGCGAGCGUUGUCCGGAUUUACUGGGUGUAAAGGGUGCGUAGGCGGGUCUGCAAGUCAGACGUGAAAUCCCGUGGCUUAACUGCGGGGCUGCGUUUGAAACUGCGGAUCUUGAGUGAAGUAGAGGCAGGCGGAAUUCCUAGUGUAGCGGUGAAAUGCGUAGAUAUUAGGAGGAACACCAGUGGAGAAGGCGGCCUGCUGGGCUUUAACUGACGCUGAUGCACGAAAGCAUGGGGAGAAAAC
rnacentral:rRNA from 1 species